rnacentral:rRNA from 1 species
UAAUUAAAAUUAUUAAUAAAAUUAUUUGGUUAUAUUUAUAUAUAUAUAUAUAUAUAUAUAUAUAUAUAUAUAUAUAUAUUAAUAAUAAUAAUUUAUUUUUUUUUUUAAAAGUUUAUAAAGAUUUUAUUUAGGUUAAAUUAAUUAUUUUGAAAUAAUUUAAAAUUUUAUAGUUUAAAGUAAUGUAAAUGAAAAUUUAAAUGUGAAAAAGUAGAAUAAUUUUUUGUACCUUUUGUAUCAGGGUUGAUUAAAAUUUAUUUAAUGAUUUUAAAUAUCUCGAAAAUAAGGGAGCUAAAUUUAUAUUAUUUUUUUUGUAGCAAUAAAAUUAUAAAUAUAGAUUUAGAAAUUAAAUGUUAAACGAACUUAUUAAUAUCUAGUUUUUUUAGAAAUAAAUUUAAUUUAGAUAUAAUUAUUUUAGUAAAUUAAAUUUUAUUUUAAUUUAUUAAUUUUUAUAUUAAAAAUUUAUGGGAUAAUCUAUAAAUUUAAGAUAAAAAUUUAAUUUUAAUUUUUAAUGUUAUAGAGAUAAUAUUUUUCUUUAAUUUUAAUAAUUUAAUAAUUUAAUAUUUAUAAAUUAAUAAUGAUUUAAAUUUAUAUUUUAUUUUUCUAUAAAAAUUUAUAUUUUAAUUAAUAAAAUAUAGAAAUAAUGAUUAGAUUAGUAAUAAAGUUAUAUUUUAUAAUGAUAUUUUGUAUUAUAUAAUUUAAAGGAAUUCGGCAAAUAUAUUAUUCACCUGUUUAUCAAAAACAUGUCCUGUUGAUUAUAAUUUUAGGUCGAUCUGCUCAAUGAAUUAUUUUAAAUAGCUGCAGUAUGUUGACUGUACAAAGGUAGCAUAAUAAAUUGUCUUUUAAUUGAAGAAUUGUAUGAAAGAAUUAAUGAAAUAAUAACUGUCUCUAAAUUAUUAAAUGAAUUUAAAUUUUUAGUUAAAAUUCUAAAAUUUAAUUAUGGGACGAUAAGACCCUAUAGAAUUUAAUUUAAUUUUUAAAUUUAUUUAUAAUUUUAAUAAAUAUAUUUAAGAUUAAAUUUGAUUGGGAGGAUUGGUAAAUUUAAUAAACUUUAUUUAAGAUUUAAUUUUGAUAUAAAGAUAAUUUUUUGAAUUAUAAAUUGUAAUUAAAAGAAUAAAUUACCUUAGGGAUAACAGCGUAAUAUCUUUUGAUAGAUCAUAUAGAUAAAGAUGUUUGCGACCUCGAUGUUGAAUUAAGAUGAAAAUUAGGCGCAGUAGUUUAAGUUUUUAAGUCUGUUCGACUUUUAAAAUCUUACAUGAUUUGAGUUCAAAUCGACGUAAGUCAGAUUGGUUUCUAUCUAUAAUAAAAUAUUAAUUAAUUGUACGAAAGGACUUUAAUUUUUAAAUUAUUUAUAAAUUAAUAAUAAAUAUAUUAUAUA